UAGGGAAUCUUCGGCAAUGGGGGGAACCCUGACCGAGCAACGCCGCGUGAGUGAAGAAGGUUUUCGGAUCGUAAAGCUCUGUUGUUAAGGAAGAACGAGUGUGAGAAUGGAAAGUUCAUGCUGUGACGGUACUUAACCAGAAAGGGACGGCUAACUACGUGCCAGCAGCCGCGGUAAUACGUAGGUCCCGAGCGUUGUCCGGAUUUAUUGGGCGUAAAGCGAGCGCAGGCGGUUAGAAAAGUCUGAAGUGAAAGGCAGUGGCUCAACCAUUGUAGGCUUUGGAAACUGUUUAACUUGAGUGCAGAAGGGGAGUGUGGAAUUCCAUGUGUAGCGGUGAAAUGCGUAGAUAUAUGGAGGAACACCGGUGGCGAAAGCGGCUCUCUGGUCUGUAACUGACGCUGAGGCUCGAAAGCGUGGGGAGCGAACAGG
rnacentral:rRNA from 1 species